rnacentral:rRNA from 1 species
GUUGAAUUUCUGCUGCAUUUCAUUUCUCUUUCUGAGUUUGUUUUUGCGGCUUAUUUCGGUUUGAUUUUUUCUUUCCGGAUGAUUACUUUGAGAAAAUUAGAGUGCUCAAAGCAGGCUUUUGCCUUGAAUAGUUUAGCAUGGAAUAAUAAAGUAGGACUUUGGUUCUAUUUUGUUGGUUUUAGGUACCAAAGUAAUGGUUAAUAGGAACAGUUGGGGGCAUUCGUAUUUAACUGUCAGAGGUGAAAUUCUUAGAUUUGUUAAAGACGAACUACUGCGAAAGCAUUUGCCAAGGAUGUUUUCAUUAAUCAAGAACGAAAGUUAGGGG